rnacentral:rRNA from 1 species
AGCAGUCGCCGCGGUAAUACGUAGGUGGCAAGCGUUGUCCGGAAUUAUUGGGCGUAAAGGGCUCGCAGGCGGUUUCUUAAGUCUGAUGUGAAAGCCCCCGGCUCAACCGAGGAGGGUCAUUGGAAACUGGGAAACUUGAGUGCAGAAGAGGAGAGUGGAAUUCCACGUGUAGCGGUGAAAUGCGUAGAGAUGUGGAGGAACACCAAUGGCGAAGGCGACUCUCUGGUCUGUAACUGACGCUGAGGAGCGAAAGCGUGGGGAGCGAACAGGAUUAGAUACCCCAGUAGUCCUGUCUCUUAUACC